UUCAUUAUCAAAAGCUGUCCAUAGAUGCGGAUUAACUACUCAAUAGCUGUCAAAAUCAUCCCCUUUAAUAUUACAUUUCGUAAAAUUUGUCUACUACUCACAAACCCACUAAAGAUUCCAUGGUUCCUAAACACAUAUGUAAACCGACACUAGAAUCAGUAACUUACAAAACCCAUAAGAGAUCAUGAACCAAAAAAGCAUCAACAACCCACAAAAGGUUUUCUUUUUUUUUUUUUCUUUGGGAAUGAGAUCUAUAGGGCUAAAGUAAAAGAGUAAAAUUUGUUUUAACUUCGUUUGAGAAAGUGGGGGUAUUUGAGGGUUUUUAGAUUUAUCAACUAGAUGCAACACAAUGGUCAUUUUCAACUCACCAUCCCUCUCUGAUUAUGAUGCUAUUGUGUAGGUAGUAAAAAAGAAAAAUAGAAAAAUCAAGAAAGAGAGAGAUAAUAAAGUUAGCAAAAUCUCAGCCGCAAAUGGAUGUCUCACCAUUUAUGUACAGAGCAUUUAGAGAGAAGAACAAGAGUGGGAGAAGAAAAGAGGAGAGAGAGUGAGAGGAAGCAUGUGAUGUGUGCAAAGCGAAGUACCAAGUUGGGAGAUGGGGAGGGGUCAAACUGCCUUUCACCAGCUUCAACUUUUUUGGACGAUUCAUUCGUUAUUGAGGAAAAAUCAUGAUUUUAUUAUUUGUAAAGAAACUUUAUGAUAUUAUUAAUUAAGAAAAAGCAAUUUGAUAUGUAGUUAC